rnacentral:tRNA from 1 species
GCCUGGCUGGCUCAGUCAGUAGAGCAUGUGGCUCUUGAUCUCAGGGUUGUGAGUUCGAGCCCCACAUUGGGUG